AUUGAACGCUGGCGGCAUGCCUUACACAUGCAAGUCGAACGGCAGCACGGGAGCAAUCCUGGUGGCGAGUGGCGAACGGGUGAGUAAAGUAUCGGAACGUGCCCAGUCGUGGGGGAUAACGUAGCGAAAGUUACGCUAAUACCGCAUACGAUCUAUGGAUGAAAGCGGGGGAUCGCAAGACCUCGCGCGAUUGGAGCGGCCGAUAUCAGAUUAGGUAGUUGGUGGGGUAAAGGCUCACCAAGCCGACGAUCUGUAGCUGGUCUGAGAGGACGACCAGCCCCACUGGGACUGAGACACGGCCCAGACUCCUACGGGAGGAAGCAGUGGGGAAUUUUGGACAAUGGGCGAAAGCCUGAUCCAGCCAUGCCGCGUGCAGGAUGAAGGCCUUCGGGUUGUAAACUGCUUUUGUACGGAACGAAAAGGUUUGGCCUAAUAAGCUGAGCUCAUGACGGUACCGUAAGAAUAAGCACCGGCUAACUACGUGCCAGCCGCCGCAGUAA
rnacentral:rRNA from 1 species